GGGGAUUUAGCUCAGUGGCAUAAGCACCUGCCUUGCAAGCAGACAAUCGUGAGUUCAAUCCCCA
rnacentral:tRNA from 1 species